GUGCACAGAUAUGUGCCACCCAUGCUUAUGCCUGUAGAUACCAGGCAUAAACACACAUGCAGUACACACUACACAAUCUCACAGAAAUGAAUCCUUCUCCUUUUCUAUCAGUCUUACAACAUGACUCCUGAUUGCAGUUUUUUCUCUCUGUGCGUUAGCAGUAGGAACAACCACCUGGAGAAGGUGGUUGUGCUCCUGGGCUUUGCUUUGGUACUGCGUCCUGUAUCCAGGACAGCCCUACUGGCCCACUGGCUAACUGCAAAUGCAGUACUACUGAUUUUUCACACCUGCUUUCCCUCUUUUCACACACUUUUUGAUGCAUCCCUUUUUGGUUUAGAGACAGGGUCUCGCUCUGUUGCCCAGGCUGGAGUGCAGUGGCACAGUCUUAGCUCACUACAGCCUCGAACUCCUGGACUCAAGCAAUCCUCCCAUCUCAGCCUCCCAAGUAGCUGGGGCUACAGGUGUGUACCACCACACUCAGAUAACUUAAAUUUUAUUCUGUAGAGAUGGAGUCUCACUAUGUUGCCCAAGCUAGUCUCAAACUCUUGGCCUCAAGUGAUCCUCCUGCCUUGGCCUCCCAAAGCACUGGUAUUACAGGCACGAGCAACCAUGCCUGGCGUUCAUUUUUAAAUUCAUGCUAAAAGUUGUUGUGUUUGAUCAUUUUAAGUUCACUUGUGUGGGAAGGGGCUUCUAAGAAAAGCAGCAAAGAAAACCAGCAAAGGCUUAUGUUCCUAACUCAACACAAACCACAUGCCUAACUUGGCUCGUGAAGGAGUCAGAAACUGCUGAGAUGUCAAACUGAAGACCGGGCAUGUGGUUUGUGCUUAUAGUGGAAGAGUCCCAUCCCUUGGUUGGCCACGUUUCACACUCAGUAAGGUUUGUGCAUCCUCAGCAACAUUCCAGAAGCUCAGAAGGCCCUCAUUGUUGCUUGUGGAACCCCCAUCCUUAGUUUUGAAAUAGGAUAUGUUUUGAUCAGGAGACAGUUUGGAGGUGCUGUCCUAUUUUGUAGCAAGAAAGGAAUAUCUCCACCUUUCCAGAUUUCAUAGCAGCAAAGCAGACAGCCAUCACCCAGGGAAAGAGAAGGGAUCCAUAUUCUUGUCUUUCUAUCCCUAAUACUUUACACAGUGCUUAACAUGAGUUAGGUGUUCAGUGUUUUGCAAAAUUUGCAUUUUCUUUCCUGGGUACUCAUCUCCAAAUGGAGGGGAUAAGUGAACCAAGUUCAGAAGACUCGUACUCAAACCUGACUGCACCUCAUACAGUCCCAAUGUCUAUUUCCUGGACCCCCAGAAUUUGUGAUCUCUUCCUCCGGCUUCUAUAUUUCAUUUCCAGUUUUCUCAUAUAAUAUAUCUAAGCCAUUUAUAAGUUUCCUAACUUAUAGACAAUUUCUAGAGUUCUUGGCUGAGUCUCAAGAGAUUUUUACUUUUUGUUUUUUGAGAUGGAGUCUCGCUUUGUCACCCAGGCUGGAGUACGGUGGUGCAAUCUCAGUUCACUGAACCCUCCCACUCCUUGAUUCAGGCAAUUCUCCUGCCUCAGCCUCCCAAGUAGCUGGGAUUACAGGCACCCACCACACCUGGCUAAUUUUUGCAUUUUUGGCAGAGACAGGGUUUCGCCAUGUUGGCCAGGCUGGUCUUGAACUCCUGACCUCAGAUGACUGGCCCAUAUUGGCCUCCCAAAGUGUUGGGAUUACAGCCAUGAGCCACCGCACCUGGCCUUAGAGCUUUUUAUAUUGGAUGCAUGAUUUCUGUGAUGCCCAUCUGCUCAACCUCUUCUUACCCCUUCAAGAUUUUGUCUGGCUUAAAAUGACAUUUUAUUAUUCUUCCAAAAUCAUCAUAUUUCCAAUUGGCUUAAUUACUUUGCACACAUCCCAAAUUCACAUUGAUACUAUGCUUGGAUUAAAUUUCUAUGGUAAAUUAUUUUAAAUUCAGAAUCUCAUUCAGU
rnacentral:lncRNA from 1 species